rnacentral:rRNA from 1 species
AUGCCAGUCAGUGCUGAGCUGGGUCCCGCCGAGGCCAUGCGUGCUUUGACCACGGUGGAAUCCUCGGGCUGGUGGGGGCACCGCAGCGGCUCGCGGGCUUUGGGUCUGCCUCGGGGAGUGGUUCCGCAGAUGAGACGGGCCUCAACGACCGCUCAUGGUCCCUGCAGGGCGCUGACCUUGUUCCCGACCAAUCGACGGAGGUGGGCAGCAUUAUUGCCGCACUACGUGGCAGUUCGGCAGGGGCGCGUGCGCGAUCCCGUGAUUCAUCCACCAUCUGGUCGGCCUCCUGGUCCAUCCGCAGAACGGGCUCGGGUGGGGUGCGCCUCUCUGUCGACCUGGGCCCGGCCUUCGAGGCCUCGGUCUCCCCGCAGCAUGCGCACUGCCCCGCCCAGGCAGGCCCGCUAG